GGCCAGGCGUGGCGGCGCGGGCGGGAGGGGUGCCUCUUCAGCGCGGAGGGGCGGGCAGCGGUGUCCUCGCGCCCGGCGGGGUGGGAGCUGAAGUGCGCCGCGGGCCCCGGCAGUGGUCUGGGGUGCCGGUUCGACGCUCCCCCCACAACUCUUAGAUCCGGUCCAGAAGAGGCGCGCGUGAUUAUAAAUACACAGGAGAGAGGAUGCAACAGAUAACGUGGAGCUUCUGACAGAUUUAAGUAUUGCUUGUCCAAAUAAUUUUUUAAGGAAAGUUUGCAUCUUUCCAGAACCUUCUAGAAACCUUUGCAGGAAAAAGAAUUAAUAUAGCCAGAAGAGACUUUACAGAAGUCAUUCACUCAGUCUUCUUUCCUACACACAUUUCCUAGUCUCAGUUGACAUUUAAUUACUUUUGCCAUAAAGUCUCCGUGGGCAACCUGACCAAUGUUACUUCCAUUAAAAAAGAUUUUCCUUAUGUUUAAA